rnacentral:rRNA from 1 species
UACAGAGGUCCCAAGCGUUGUUCGGAUUCACUGGGCGUAAAGGGUGCGUAGGUGGUGGGGUAAGUUUGAUGUGAAAGCUCCGGGCUUAACCCGGAAAUGGCAUUGAAUACUAUCUCGCUUGAGGGUUGGAGGGGAGACUGGAAUUCUUGGUGUAGCAGUGAAAUGCGUAGAUAUCAAGAGGAACACCAGUGGCGAAGGCGAGUCUCUGGACAACUCCUGACACUGAGGCACGAAAGCUAGGGGAGCAAACGGG